rnacentral:lncRNA from 1 species
GUAACUUCAAAGAUCAGCAACAUAAGCUUUCCUCUUCUGACCUCUUUUUCAUCCUGAAAACAUUCUGAAUGAGAGCUCUUCGUCGGCUAAAGCUCAGAAACCAUAUUACUGUGUCUACUCCUAUGGGAUCAAGUGGAAAUGAAGCAGAGAAGGGAGAUGAGAGUGAUCCACUGAGUAAGAAAUUGUGCUUCAAAUUGCUUCAUAUUGCUGAAACUAUCAUCUUGUCUGGAGGAAAAAGAACAUGGGCAGUUAUCCAGGUAAAGUUGGUUUCUGCUGGGACAGUCUGCAUUGUUAAUAUUGCUGUCAUAGAGGGAAAAUGUCAGAUACAAGAUUUCUGCUGGAGCAAGGUAAAACUACAUACACAGCUUUACUCACUACAAAAUAUUAUUAUUCCAAAUAUGUCUUAUUUUAAAUAAAUACCUUAUUUUAAGGAAAUUAUUAAUUUACAGUGCCAGAAAGUUCUUACAAAUGUAUCUUGUUACAUUUUGCCAUGUAUCCUAUUUCAUUUCCAAUGGGAUAAAAGCCACAUCUGUUCACACAAAAGCUUAUGCAACCACAGCGUAGCACUCCCAAACCCACAGACCCUAUGAAUGAUAUACAAGUAGAAACAUUAGGUUUCACAUGCUUCCGUGUCAAAAGCAAAGAAAUAAAAUGCGAAGGUAUGGCA